rnacentral:rRNA from 1 species
AGGACGAACGCUGGCGGCGUGCUUAACACAUGCAAGUCGAGCGAGGCCCGCCUUUCGGGGUGGUGUCCUAGCGGCGAACGGGUGAGUAACACGUGGGCAACCUGCCCCUGGCUCUGGGAUAACUCCAAGAAAUUGGGGCUAAUACCGGAUAUGACCGCUGACCGCAUGGUCUGGUGGUGGAAAGAUUUAUCGGGCUGGGGGAUGGGGCCCGCGGCCUAUCAGCUUGUUGGUGGGGUAUGGCCCACCAAGGCGACGACGGGUAGCCGGCCUGAGAGGGUGACCGGCCACACUGGGACUGAGACACGGCCCAGACUCCUACGGGAGGCAGCAGUGGGGAAUAUUGCGCAAUGGGCGAAGCCUGACGCAGCGACGCCGCGUGGGGGAUGACGGCCUUCGGGUUGUAAACCUCUUUCAGUAGGACGAAGCGCAAGUGACGGUACCUACAGAAGAAGCACCGGCCAACUACGUGCCAGCAGCCGC